UGAAAAUUUAAAAACGACAUCUCAUUAAACAUCCGUUCGUCUACAGUUUGAUAUCACCGGUACGCCUCAACUCAGAAGUAGGCCUACGUAGUAGAGACAACAUCAAUAGGGCCACCCGGGUACGUGUACGUGAAUCGGCCGCGCACCGACAGAGAUGUGAAGAAUGUUCGGAAUGAGGAGAGGAAUGAAAUGAACGCGAAGAGCGAGUUUGCACUGGGCGGAGCGAAGGUGGCGUCAUCCCAAAUCCCACUGCUGGCCGGGGUGGGAGGGACCAGAGCCGUAAGGAUGACCUCACGGGAGACGCUCAUUUCAAACUACGAGGGAGUGAGAGAGAUUUUAAAUGUUACGCGUAUACUAUUUGCCCACUCUCCUUGAACUUUAUAAUGUUCCGCGUAUUUUGCCACUUCCCGUUUUUCAAUAAAAUUAAAUAGCCUAUGACUGGGCAUAUCAUAAGGGAAAUGUAAGCACGCUUGCACGAAAACAAUAGUUCUAGCUGCCUUUCCAGUACCAGUACUCAUAGCCCAUAAAAUGAAUGUCUCAGCUGACUGUGAACAGAUACAGACACCGGGUUUCAGUUCAUUAACUGAUUUAACAACUCCACCAUGGACCUUUUAUAAUUUCUACAAAUAUCUGAAAAUUGAAAGUCAUAUUACAAUGCAAUUUAAUUUCAGUGCUGAGACUGCGUUAAGUUCCAUGCAUUCAUAUGAACAUCCCUGAUAAAAGUAUGACAUUUGGAACAAAUCAGUUCCUGUCUAUCCUAUUUCAUGCACCUAAACCCUUCCAUUAAUCAAAUCAUAUUGAACAACAACUUCUGCUGACAAAGAGAGCACGUUUUUAUUUUAUUUUGAAUUGGUAGUUGAAUUUGUAUGACAUCAUGUUUUCACGUGUCACAAAUCUGAAUAAGCUUCUGUAGCUUUAAUAGUUGAGAUCAAGCAUGCUGGAAUCAUUUCAGAAGGGGGGGGGGGGGGCGCUAAAACAUGGAGAAAAUGAUAUGUUUUGGGACAUUACAUUACAUUUAUUUAGAUGACGUACAAUAAGUGCAUACCAGAGGUAAUUGGAACUACUACAAACACAGGUCCGAUAAGGUACAAUACUCAUUUUUUAAUAGCCCACAUUGAACAUUGACCACAGUGAACAUUACACUGACCUAACAUAUGGACACCCGAUGAAUUGUGGAGAAGGGGUAGGGGGGUCAGGUGAUACAAUGCAUUGAAUUAUCAGUGCUAAAUUGAGAGACAUUUUGACAUUAAAAACAAGUUAGAGGGUCUGAAGUAUAUGGGGAAUUCGAGGGGGCCCUCUCCUGCCCUUUUCACCAUCUCUGCUUGCGAUGUAAAUUGUAUUGGUUUAUGAAUAAUCUAGUUUUCAUAUGCUCAGUCUAUGCUUUGUAUUAAACAACAUGCUAUCAAUUUAAAAUGAAGAUGGUGCCAUUAACUGACAGAAAGCAGAAAUUAUAAUGUAAGGAUGAAACUGUUAUUGAAAGUUGUAAUUAAUGGCGACAGGGACCAAUGACUUGUUCACUGUCUUAUUUUGUGACUUGACAUGUACUAUGUUUCAUGAUCCUUGAACGUUAUUUUCUUUGUUAUCUUGAUAGAAGUGGUGAAAUGUGAGCACAACAGCAGCCCCUGAAGCAUGGCUUAUUGAAAAAUCCACAAAGGUUAUAUUCACCAACAUGUGAGUCCAGGUUCACCAGCUACUGUAUGAGCAUUAUAGAACUAGAUUAAAGCACCUGUGAGUUUUCUUUUUACUGCUCUCCCACUUAGCUGUGUCAAGGUCAGUUUUCUCCUUCAGCAUUACUAGGCCUUUCUGUACCUCUCUACACUGCGGUAAAUGGUCUUUGAGACAUUGUAAACCUAGAGACAGAAGAAACACAUCACUUCAUUUUUGCAUUUUUUGAUUAUAUAAAGAAUGCUGUUUGCAUGGUUGUUUGAUCUGUCAAUCAAAGCUGGGCAAGCUUUGUAUUUAAUUCUCCACACAUUUCCUGUUUAACAGAAGGAAGGAAAAUGAUUUUUCAAGAAAUCAACAUAAGACUUUUUAAAAUCAAUAUCACUCCUAUGAAAUAUUUACAAUUUAAUUAUAAUUUAAGAUGCCA